AACCUGGUUGAUCCUGCCAGUAGUCAUAUGCUUGUUUCAAGGAUUAAGCCAUGCAUGUCUAAGUAUAAGCUCUUGUACGGCUAGACUGCAGACGGCUCAUUACAACGGUUGUAGCUUCCAGGACAUCCGGGUCGCAAGGCCUUCUGGAUAACCGCAGUAAAUCGGGGCUAAUACAUAUAAACGGAGGGGUAGAGGGGGCAACCUUGAAGCUUCUGCGAUGGACACUUAGCUAUUCGACCAACCCCGCAAGGGAGUGGUUGGAACCGGUUCAUAUUGCUAAUCGACUCUAGCUUGCUAGUAGUCUGAUAAGUUCUAUAGACAACUGCCCUAUCAACUUGAUGGUAAGGUUUUGGCUUACCAUGGUUAUAACGGGUAACGGGGAAUCAGGGUUCGAUUCCGGAGAGGACGCCUGAGAAACGGCGUCCACAUCUACGGGUGGCAGCAGGCGCGUAAAUUGCCCAAUCUCAACAGAGAGGAGGCGGUGACAAUAAAUCCCGAUGGCUUUGGGGGCAACCCCAGGCCAAUCAGAAUAAGUACACAUUAAAUCCCCUAACCAAUAUAAUUGGAGGGCAAGUCUGGUGCCAGCAGCCGCGGUAAUUCCAGCUCCAAUAGCAUAUACUAAUGUUGUUGCAGUUAAAACGCUCGUAGCUCAAUAUCUUUUGAGCUAUUUACGAUCGUGUCACUCACCUGAUGGCCCUUAAAGCUUGAGGGUGAGCGCGGUCGGCUCGAACACUGUAGGUCACGGUGGUCUUAGCAAUAGGGCCAUCGUAAUCGACUGUGCAUAAACCUUGAUGCUCAAGGUAGGCCUCUGGGGGUAGAUACGCAGUGCAUGGCAUUGUGGAACAAGGCAUCUCGCGGCUUAGUUGGUGGGCCGCGGGGGCAAUGAUUAAUAGGGAGGAGCGGGGGCCUUCAUAUUGCAGGGCGAGAGGUGAAAUUCGUUGACCCUUGCAAGAUGUCCUACAGCGAAAGCAUUGGCCAAGUGCCUCUCCAUUAGUCAAGAACGAAAGUUUGGGGAUCAAAGACGAUCAGAUACCGUCGUAGUCCAAACCAUAAACUAUGUCGACCAGUGAUUAGGCGGGCUACCUUCUUCGAGAGCUGCCUAGCAACUUGUGGGAAACCAUGAGUGCUUGGACUCUGGGGGGAGUAUGGUCGCAAGGCUGAAACUUAAAGGAAUUGACGGAAGGGCACACCAUGGAGUGGAGCCUGCGGCUUAAUUUGACUCAACACGGGAAAGCUUACCAAGCUCAGAUAUGAUAAGGAUUGACAGACUAAAAGAUCUUUCAUGAUCUCAUAAGUGGUGGUGCAUGGUCGUUCUUAGUUGGUGGAGUGAUUUGUCAGGUCAAUUCCGGUAACGGACGAGACCUCGACCUGCUAACUAGUGGGGCUCAUUGGUUCAAAUGGCGAAGCGAAUUUUGCUUUUACUAUGGGUGGGCAACCAUUCAUAGUGGGGGUAGGGAGCGUAUGUAGCCUGGGCCAGUGGGUUUCAAAAAUUAAAAUUAAUCUUCCUAGAGGUACUUCUGGCUCUAAGCCAGAGGAAGUCCGAGGCAAUAACAGGUCUGUGAUGCCCUUAGAUAUCUUGGGCCGCACGCGUGCUACAAUGUAGGCGCUAAUGAGUCGUAACAUUCCAGCACCGCAAGGUGUCUGGUAAUCUUGGAAUCCCCUGCGUGAUUGGGCUUGACCACUGUAACUGUGGUCAUCAACGAGGAAUUCCUUGUAUGCGCGAGUCACUAUCUCGCGCAGAAUCUGUCCCUGCCCUUUGUACACACCGCCCGUCGCUCCUACCGAUCGAACGAUCAGGUAAAGUGGACAGACAGAGACCCGCAAGGGCUUUUGAAAGUCCAUUGAACCUCGCCGUUUAGAGGAAGGAGAAGUCGUAACAAGGUAUCGGUAGGUGAACCUGCAGAAGGAUCAA
rnacentral:rRNA from 1 species